GACGAACGCUGGCGGCGUGCUUAACACAUGCAAGUCGAACGGUAAGGCCCUUCGGGGUACACGAGCGGCGAACGGGUGAGUAACACGUGGGUGAUCUGCCCUGCACUUCGGGAUAAGCCUGGGAAACUGGGUCUAAUACCGGAUAGGACCACUGCCUGCAUGGGUGGUGGUGGAAAGCUUUUGCGGUGUGGGAUGGGCCCGCGGCCUAUCAGCUUGCUGGUGGGGUGAUGGCCUACCAAGGCGACGACGGGUAGCCGGCCUGAGAGGGUGACCGGCCACACUGGGACUGAGAUACGGCCUAGACUCCUACGGGAGGCAGCAGUGGGGAAUAUUGCACAAUGGGCGCAAGCCUGAUGCAGCGACGCCGCGUGAGGGAUGACGGCCCUCGGGUUGUAAACCUCUUUCAGCACCGACGAAGCGCAAGUGACGGUAGGUGCAGAAGAAGGACCGGCCAACUACGUGCCAGCCGCCGCCGUAA
rnacentral:rRNA from 1 species